rnacentral:rRNA from 1 species
UACGUAGGGUGCGAGCGUUAAUCGGAAUUACUGGGCGUAAAGCGUGCGCAGGCGGUUUUGUAAGCCAGAUGUGAAAUCCCCGGGCUUAACCUGGGAAUGGCAUUUGGGACUGCAAGGCUCGAGUGCGGCAGAGGAGACUGGAAUUCCUGGUGUAGCAGUGAAAUGCGUUGAUAUCGAUAGGAACUCCGGUGGCGAAGGCGGCAUACUGGACCACUUCUGACGCUGAGGCGCGAAAGCCAGGGGAGCGAACGGG